rnacentral:rRNA from 1 species
AGAGUUUGAUCCUGGCUCAGGACGAACGCUGGCGGCGUGCCUAAUACAUGCAAGUCGAGCGAGCUUGCCUAGAUGAUUUUAGUGCUUGCACUAAAUGAAACUAGAUACAAGCGAGCGGCGGACGGGUGAGUAACACGUGGGUAACCUGCCCAAGAGACUGGGAUAACACCUGGAAACAGAUGCUAAUACCGGAUAACAACACUAGACGCAUGUCUAGAGUUUGAAAGAUGGUUCUGCUAUCACUCUUGGAUGGACCUGCGGUGCAUUAGCUAGUUGGUAAGGUAACGGCUUACCAAGGCAAUGAUGCAUAGCCGAGUUGAGAGACUGAUCGGCCACAUUGGGACUGAGACACGGCCCAAACUCCUACGGGAGGCAGCAGUAGGGAAUCUUCCACAAUGGACGAAAGUCUGAUGGAGCAACGCCGCGUGAGUGAAGAAGGGUCUCGGCUCGUAAAGCUCUGUUGGUAGUGAAGAAAGAUAGAGGUAGUAACUGGCCUUUAUUUGACGGUAAUUACUUAGAAAGUCACGGCUAACUACGUGCCAGCAGCCGCGGUAAUACGUAGGUGGCAAGCGUUGUCUGGAUUUAUUGGGCGUAAAGCGAGUGCAGGCGGUUCAAUAAGUCUGAUGUGAAAGCCUUCGGCUCAACCGGAGAAUUGCAUCAGAAACUGUUGAACUUGAGUGCAGAAGAGGAGAGUGGAACUCCAUGUGUAGCGGUGGAAUGCGUAGAUAUAUGGAAGAACACCAGUGGCGAAGGCGGCUCUCUGGUCUGCAACUGACGCUGAGGCUCGAAAGCAUGGGUAGCGAACAGGAUUAGAUACCCUGGUAGUCCAUGCCGUAAACGAUGAGUGCUAAGUGUUGGGAGGUUUCCGCCUCUCAGUGCUGCAGCUAACGCAUUAAGCACUCCGCCUGGGGA